rnacentral:tmRNA from 1 species
GGGGAUGCCAGGCUUUGAUAAUAAGUUUUGCUCAUGUAUGCAGAAGGUGCUGGUUGCCACCUAAAUCCGACCAAACUACAGUUGUAAAAACUGCUACAGCGCAACCAAUCUUCUCAAUGAAGAUCCCGGUUUACGCUACUGUUGCCGCCUAAGAGCCGCAACCAUCCGCCCAACAAGCCUACGCGUUGGAUCACGGGUGUCAUCAGUAGGCUAGGUUAAUAGUUGCCGCUUGAGGCUAUUAAUUUAAAUUCCCAAGCUGGUUUUCAUCUUUUUUGUUAGAUCUUAAGGAUGGAAACAAGACAACAGAUCUGACUAUUUCUGUAGGCGUGCUUGAGUUGACUUGUUAGACAGGGGUUCAACUCCCCUCAUCUCCACAC